rnacentral:lncRNA from 1 species
GAUCCCAAGACCAGUCCCACGCAUACCAGUAACAGAUCAAGAAGCUAGAAAUCAAAAAAUUUAUCAAAGAAAGGUAUUAAACCCUAAUUCAAAAUCUGUCCAAAUUUUGGUUGUUAGAUGUUAUGUUUGAGUGUUAGAAUAUGUUGUUAGUAGUGUAUAAUGAUGAUCUGGGUUGAUAGAUGUUAGAUCCAUAACAUCUAUAGGCUCGGAUUUGAGUUUUUGCAAAAUCUGGAAAAACUUGGUUCUGUGGUCUGACAACGAAUGUCAGUGGACACAGAUCCUUGAUCGUUUAUGAUUUGUGUUGUUUUUAAGUUGUUACAUGUAGCCUGUAUUGUGGUCUGUAAUCUGCAAGUGGACUCAAGGUCAUUUGAUGUCUAGAAUAGAAGUUAUUUACGGUCUAAAGUAGUUGACCGACCAUGACCGGGCAUUUCUAGGUAACCCAGAAAAAGCCAAGAACCGGCCUGACAAGCUUUUAAUCCGGCCAGAUCUUUUAGUGUAUUUAUGUUUUGUUGUUUGUG